rnacentral:rRNA from 1 species
CCCUUAGAUGUUCUGGACCGCACACGCGCUACACUGAAGGAGGCAGCGUGUACUCCUGGAUCGAAAGAUUUGGGUAACCCGCGAAUCUCCUUCGUGCUAGGGAUUGAGGUUUGCAAUUAUCCUUCAUGAACGAGGAAUUCCCAGUAAGUGCAAGUCAUAAGCUUGCGCUGACUACGUCCCUGCCCUUUGUACACACCGCCCGUCGCUACUACCGAUUGAAUGAUUUAGUGAGGACUUCGGACUGGGACCGAUGCGGCUUUCGGGCUGCGUCGGUAUUCUGGAAAGAUGUCCAAACUGUAUCAUUUAGAGGAAGUAAAANUCGUANCA